rnacentral:rRNA from 1 species
AGCGAACGCUGGCGGCAGGCCUAACACAUGCAAGUCGAACGAACCCUUCGGGGUUAGUGGCGGACGGGUGAGUAACACGUGGGAACGUGCCUUUAGGUUCGGAAUAACUCAGGGAAACUUGUGCUAAUACCGAAUGUGCCCUUCGGGGAAAAGAUUUAUCGCCUUUAGAGCGGCCCGCGUCUGAUUAGCUAGUUGGUGAGGUAAUGGCUCACCAAGGCUACGAUCAGUAGCUGGUCUGAGAGGAUGACCAGCCACAUUGGGACUGAGACACGGCCCAAACUCCUACGGGAGGCAGCAGUGGGGAAUCUUGCGCAAUGGGCGAAGGCCUGACGCAGCCAUGCCGCGUGGAUGAUGAAGGUCUUAGGAUUGUAAAAUCCUUUCACCGGUGAAGAUAAUGACUGUAGCCGGAGAAGAAGCCCCGGCUAACUUCGUGCCAGCCGCCGCGGUAACAC